CCCUUAGAUGUUCUGGGCUGCACGCGCGCUACACUGAUGCGCUCAACGAGUUUUAACCUUGCCUGGAAAGGUUGGGUAAUCUUUUUAAAACGCAUCGUGAUGGGGAUAGAUUAUUGCAAUUAUUAAUCUUCAACGAGGAAUUCCUAGUAAGCGCGAGUCAUCAGCUCGUGCUGAUUACGUCCCUGCCCUUUGUACACACCGCCCAUCGCUCCUACCGAUUGAGUGAUCCGGUGAAUAAUUCGGACUGCGGCAUUGACCGGUUCCCGAUCGUUGCUGCGGAAAGUUUAGUGAACCUUAUCACUUAGAGGAAGGAGAAGUCGUAACA
rnacentral:rRNA from 1 species